AAAAAGAAAAGGGAUUAGGAAGGAAGUUUUAUGUGAAAGUGCUUCUGGUAUGUGUAGGUAAUGGAAACUGUGAAAGAGAAGGAAAAAGAUAUAAUAAAAUAGUUGAUUUUGGUAGUAAAUAGAGGUGGGUCCCUUUGCGUAAAGACAAAAAGGAGGGAAAAGUGUGUUCUUUGGGUUCACAUAAGGAGCUUAGUAAUCUCAAGACGUUUUGGGAGAUUAAAGAAGGAAGAGCAUGCGUGUGGUGAAUGGCCUUUUUCUGUGCGCGAAGAAUGGUGGAAGAGAGAAAGUAGUUUAUGUGCAAUCUAAGAAAAAUAAAAGUGAAGGAUGAAGAGGCGUAGGGAAAUUUAGGGUUUUAAAAAAUGUAAAUAAAAUUAAAU
rnacentral:lncRNA from 1 species